AAAGGUCAAACUAAAGGCGAGGAGAAGCGGCCGCAGCAGCAGCAGCAGCUGAGCCCGGGCGGGGAGGUGGGAGGGGAGAGAGGGCGACCCCCCCGAACUCCCACAGCAGGAUGCAGGGUACUUGAUGAUGGAUACUCCGAAUGUAAUUCUUGGAAUGUUCCAUUAGAAGGCUCCAAGGUUCAAGAACAGCUCCAGCAGAAUGUUGGUAACACUUGUUUGUGAUGGACUCAGUGUGAUGUUGCCAUCUUCAUCAGACAGAAAACUGUCCUCUGUGAGUAGGUAAAAGCCAUUAGUAAGAAGCCAGGGGCUCCUGCGACAUGUGAAGACACAGCCUGUGCAGGGGUUGGUAGAAGUACAUUCAUAGGUGGCGUCAUGAUCCAGAAACACAUCUGGGCAACUAAAAUGAUAAGUUAUAACAAAAAUCCUGUUACUCACACAUCUAUCAGAAGACCAUGACUUAAUGACAGCAAUGACAGCCUACCAAAGACCUUCCUCUUUCAACAAGCCUUUUAAGUUGAGACCUAUCCCAGUCUGCGUCUGUGUCAGAAUUGUUUAAUAUGUUUUUAAAUAAUGUUUUUAACCCUUUUUAGGGUUGUUUUUUUAAUUGUUUUUAA